rnacentral:lncRNA from 1 species
GUAGUCCUCGCUGCCGCCGGGGCCCCCGGAGUCCGACCGGGUCAGACUCAGGAGUGUCGCCGGUUUCGCGUGGUUUUCCGCGGGCUUCCCGCUGCGCCCGCUCCCCGACCAGCCGUGCGGACGCGCCUCCCGGGCGCAUGCGCCGUUCUGCGCGUGGGGCAGCCCAGCGUUCGCGCGCCGGCUCCGCCCCCUCCGGCGCAUGUGCGGUCCCCGGGAGCCGCGUGGUGGUGCGCAGGGCGCGGGUCUCGGCGGCAGCGGGCGAGCGCCGGGACCGCGGAGGCCACGCUGUGGGUGCAGUUGUCCGUUCGUCCCCCGGGGAUGCCAUUGACUGCAGCAGCCUCAGGCUUGCGUGGGCUGUCUCUGCCUGGCCUCCCUCUCCUCGCGGCGCGGGAGCGCAGAGGGACAGGCGGAGUGCAUACUGGCUGUGGACAGGAGCUGCUGAAGCUGGAGAGGCUAGAGAAUGUUAAAGAAGAAAUGGAAGGCCAUCCGGCUGGCAGCUGCCUUCUGCUGCAGGCAAGAGAGACCCUGCCUCUCUGCUUCCGGAAGGAUCCCUCUUCAUAGUCCACAGCAGGUCAGACCGCCAACGUGCACCACAGGGUGGAGGACAGUCAAGAGACAGGAGUUACAGAAGAGGAAGGGAAGAGAGAAGGAGAAAGAAAUGUCUGAACUGGCAAAGGCUUCUGGCAGUGCCGAGAGCAAGAGCUGUGUGUCACCUUCCGCAUCACACGAAGAAAAUCCUGCGUGGGUAAUUCCGCUUGCUGCUCAGAGUGUUGAUGGCAUGUUGUCCCGUGGCACAAUCCCCAUUCUGUUCAGCGGAGUCUUCAGUCUAGGACUUCUAAGUAAAAAAAGUUUGUCCUUCCAAAAAAGGACUAGUCAUUCAUCGGACCGAGGCAUAGACUUGGAGAGUUGCUUAAGUACGUGA